GACGUAGGGCGCGAGCGUUGUCCGGAUUUAUUGGGCGUAAAGAGCUCGUAGGCGGCUUGUUGCGUCGACCGUGAAAACCCGGGGCUCAACUUCGGGCUUGCGGUCGAUACGGGCGGGCUAGAGUUCGGUAGGGGAGACUGGAAUUCCUGGUGUAGCGGUGAAAUGCGCAGAUAUCAGGAGGAACACCGGUGGCGAAGGCGGGUCUCUGGGCCGUAACUGACGCUGAGGAGCGAAAGCAUGGGGAGCGAACAGGA
rnacentral:rRNA from 1 species